AAUAGAUACCCCGGUAGUCCACGCCGUAAACGAUGAGUGCUAAGUGUUAGAGGGUUUCCGCCCUUUAGUGCUGCAGCUAACGCAUUAAGCACUCCGCCUGGGGAGUACGGUCGCAAGACUGAAACUCAAAGGAAUUGACGGGGGGCCCGCACAAGCGGUGGAGCAUGUGGUUUAAUUCGAAGCAACGCGAAGAACCUUACCAGGUCUUGACAUCCCACUGACCGGUAUAGAGAUAUACCUUUCCCUUCGGGGACAGUGGUGACAGGUGGUGCAUGGUUGUCGUCAGCUCGUGUCGUGAGAUGUUGGGUUAAGUCCCGCAACGAGCGCAACCCUUGAUCUUAGUUGCCAGCAUUUAGUUGGGCACUCUAAGGUGACUGCCGGUGACAAACCGGAGGAAGGUGGGGAUGACGUCAAAUCAUCACGCCCCUUAUGACCUGGGCUACACACGUGCUACAAUGGAUGGUACAAAGGGCUGCAAGACUGCGAAGUCAAGCCAAUCCCAUAAAACCAUUCUCAGUUCGGAUUGCAGGCUG
rnacentral:rRNA from 1 species